GACGAACGCUGGCGGCGUGCCUAAUACAUGCAAGUCGAACGCACUCUCGUUUAGAUUGAAGGAGCUUGCUCCUGAUUGAUAAACAUUUGAGUGAGUGGCGGACGGGUGAGUAACACGUGGGUAACCUGCCCUAAAGUGGGGGAUAACAUUUGGAAACAGAUGCUAAUACCGCAUAAAACCUAACACCGCAUGGUGUAGGGUUGAAAGAUGGUUUCGGCUAUCACUUUAGGAUGGACCCGCGGUGCAUUAGUUAGUUGGUGAGGUAAAGGCUCACCAAGACCGUGAUGCAUAGCCGACCUGAGAGGGUAAUCGGCCACACUGGGACUGAGACACGGCCCAGACUCCUACGGGAGGCAGCAGUAGGGAAUCUUCCACAAUGGACGAAAGUCUGAUGGAGCAACGCCGCGUGAGUGAAGAAGGUUUUCGGAUCGUAAAACUCUGUUGUUUGGAGAAGGAAUGUAUCUGAUAGUAACUGAUCAGGUAGUGACGGUAUCC
rnacentral:rRNA from 1 species